UACGAAGGUCCCAAGCGUUGUUCGGAAUUACUGGGCGUAAAGCGCGGGCAGGCGGUCUGUUAAGUCUACUGUGAAACUCCGGGGCUCAACUCCGGACGUGCAGUGGAUACUGGCAGUCUAGAGAAUGGUAGAGGCAAGCGGAAUUCCAGGUGUAGCGGUGGAAUGCGUAGAUAUCUGGAAGAACACCUGUGGCGAAGGCGGCUUGCUGGGCCAUUUCUGACGCUCAUCCGCGAAAGCGUGGGGAGCAAACAGG
rnacentral:misc_RNA from 1 species